rnacentral:rRNA from 1 species
GACAGAGGGUGCAAACGUUGCUCGGAAUCACUGGGCGUAAAGGGCGUGUAGGCGGGAAGGAAAGUCAGAUGUGAAAUCCCUGGGCUCAACCCAGGAACUGCAUUUGAAACUCCCUUUCUUGAGUGUCGGAGAGGAAAGCGGAAUUCCAGGUGUAGCGGUGAGAUGCGUAGAGAUCUGGAGGAACACCGAUGGCGAAGGCAGCCUUCUGGGCCAACACUGACGCUCAUGCACGAAAGCGUGGGGAGCAAACAGG